AUCUAUCCAUCUCGCGUGUGUUUACAUAGAAAAACAAUUUUUUUUUUAAAAUAGCACAGUGCAAUGCAAAAAUGCAUUCUGUGUGAAUGCCCUUAAAAACUGUGUCCUAACCAUGAUGAAGCAAAAUCCCACUUCUUAUAGCUGCACAUUAAAGCUAAAGUGUGUCAUUAACUAGUCUGAAUUUAUUGUUUUUAAACAGGUUUCCCAAAAGCUCCGCCUGGAGGCAAAUCGAUAGCCCAGCCCCCAAACACACCCCAUUGGCUGAACCAAUGUUGCUGUUGUUGGGCGGAUCGAGAUGUUCAAACAAACAGAUCAAUGUUUUGAAAACACCACAGAGCUGCAGUGUUUCACUUUUUAGGGAACUCAGCCUAUGAAUGUCUUAAUAAUUGUUUUAACAUUAAAAAACAUGAAACAGGUUCUGAUUGGAUCUGUCAUUACACAGAAUUUUCCUUUUCUCUGUGGAGAGACAAAUUAAACGAUGCUGGAAAAGUCAUGUCUGGUUAGGACACGGUGUGAGAGUGGGCAGGGAAAGUACAGUAGAAUUCUGAAUGUAAAAACAGGAUCAGCUCUUAUCAGCUAAACCACUCACUUUCAGAGUUGCGUUGCUUGUACUUCUGCAAAAAUGAAAAACUCUUUGUAAAAAAAAAAACCUCCUCUGUAAGUUCAUUCCUCAUUCAUUCAUUUUCAUCAUACAGAUAGAAAGAGGAUGGGCCUCACGUUCAUCAGCUCACGUUCUGUUUCAUAAAUAUGGAAGUGAGAUUAAAACUGCAACACAAGGGGUUUUCCCUUCUUCCAUCUGGAUGGUGGUGUUCCGGUGAUAUGUUAAGAGUAAAAUUGCAAAUACUGUCUCCAUGGUUGCACUGGUUUGGUUUGUAACCAUGUUAUUUACAUUUUGCAUGAGCACAUUCUUUCAUCUCCAGCUAUACAACUUCAUUUCGCAAGAGUUUCGGUGCGAUUUUCAUAUUGUGUUCAAUAUAAAUGCCUCAUUUUCAUGUAUAUUCUGAAAUAAACCCCAUGCCCCAUCACAUCAAAUGGAAAAGAUUAUCAAAAAUGUCAGCAGCUACUCUAAUGCAUUCAUUUUACAAUACAACUUUCCUUUGAGGAAAAAGAAAUCGAUUUUCUGCCCCGAUUUCUUUGCUUUCUUUCUUUUUAAUGACUUUGCUGCCAUAUCUUCUCUCAUAUAUCACAUAACUAUUAAAAUGUAGCAAAAUAUCCGGAGGAUUUUAAUAUAGAGACAGGGGUUUAUAUUUGAUUUCCGAAUUCUCAUUUUUCCACCAUUACCCUGUUUGUCUUUCUAUGUUGUACAUUCUGUCUUGUAAGCCCUCUGCAUGUAGCAUUCAGAAGCAAUUGUUCAUGAUUUUUCUUUCUUGCUUUUUUUGUUUGUUUAAUUUAUCCUUAAAGCACUUGUGAGUUUUAAAUGUGUCAAUAUUUUGUGUACGUAUCCAUGUCAUAAGCUAACAGUUAUGUGUCCUAAUUAAAUAAACCUUGCCUUAUCAUCUGA
ensembl:lncRNA